rnacentral:rRNA from 1 species
AGGCUUGGAAAAGUUUUUCAAUUAAAAGGAUAGGGAGAAUGGUUCCUAUUCGCCAUAGGAUAUGAUCGUGUUCGAUUAUGGUAGUUGGUGAGGUAAGGGCUACACCAAGCCGAUAAUCGAUAGGGGCCGUGAGAGCGGGAGCCCCGAGAUGGGUACUUAGACAGCGACCCAGGCCUUACGAGGCGCAGCAGGCGCGGAACCUCCGCAAUACACGAAAGUGUGACGGGGUUACCCAAAGUGUUCUCUUAAGAACUGUGGCGAGUGAGUAAUGUUCCUCGCUAGAAAGGAGAGGGCAAGGCUGGUGCCAGCCGCCGCGGUAAAACCAGCUCUUCAAGUGGUCGGGAUAAUUAUUGGGCUUAAAGUGUCCGUAGCCGGUUUAGUAAGUUCCUGGUAAAAUCGGGUAGCUUAACUAUCUGUAUGCUAGGAAUACUGCUAUACUAAAGGGCGGGAGAGUCUGAGGUACUACGGGGGUAGGGGUGAAAUCUUAUAAUCCUUGUAGGACCACCAGUGGCGAAGGCGUCAGACUGGAACGCGCCUGACGGUGAGGGACGAAAGCCAGGGGAGCGAACCGGAUUAGAUACCCGGGUAGUCCUGGCCGUAAACGAUGCAUACUAGGUGAUGGCACGGCCAUGAGCCAUGUCAGUGCCGUAGGGAAACCGUUAAGUGUGCCGCCUGGGAAGUACGGUCGCAAGGCUAAAACUUAAAGGAAUUGGCGGGGGAGCACCACAAGGGGUGAAGCCUGCGGUUCAAUUGGACUCAACGCCGGGAAACUUACCAGGGGAGACAGUAGGAUGAUGGUCAGGUUGACGACCUUACCUAACGAGCUGAGAGGAGGUGCAUGGCCGUCGCCAGUUCGUGCUGUGAGGUAUCCUGUUAAGUCAGGCAACGAACGAGAUCCGCACCUUUAUUUGCCACCAAGAAGUUACGACUUCGUUGGGAACACUAAAGGGACCGCCGUUCGAUAAGACGGAGGAAGGAGCGGGCAAAGGCAGGUCAGUAUGCCCCGAAACCCCUGGGCUACACGCGGGCUGCAAUGAUAUGAACAAUGGGCUGUGACUCCGAAAGGAGAAACCAAUCCCGAAAUCAUAUCACAGUGGGGAUUGUCGGCUGUAACCCGCUGACAUGAACGUGGAA